rnacentral:tRNA from 1 species
AUUUAUAUAGUUUAAUUAAAACACUUCAUUUUCAAUGAAAAAAUAAGUAUAACUACUUUUUAAAUA